AUUGAACGCUGGCGGCAGGCCUAACACAUGCGAGUCGAGCGGAUGAGUGGAGCUUGCUCCAUGAUUCAGCGGCGGACGGGUGAGUAAUGCCUAGGAAUCUGCCUGGUAGUGGGGGACAACGUUUCGAAAGGAACGCUAAUACCGCAUACGUCCUACGGGAGAAAGUGGGGGAUCUUCGGACCUCACGCUAUCAGAUGAGCCUAGGUCGGAUUAGCUAGUUGGUGAGGUAAAGGCUCACCAAGGCGACGAUCCGUAACUGGUCUGAGAGGAUGAUCAGUCACACUGGAACUGAGACACGGUCCAGACUCCUACGGGAGGCAGCAGUGGGGAAUAUUGGACAAUGGGCGAAAGCCUGAUCCAGCCAUGCCGCGUGUGUGAAGAAGGUCUUCGGAUUGUAAAGCACUUUAAGUUGGGAGGAAGGGCAGUAAGUUAAUACCUUGCUGUUUUGACGUUACCAACAGAAUAAGCACCGGCUAACUUCGUG
rnacentral:rRNA from 1 species